CAGUCGCCGCGGUAAUACGUAGGGUGCAAGCGUUAAUCGGGAUUACUGGGCGUAAAGCGUGCGCAGGCGGUUAUAUAAGACAGAUGUGAAAUCCCCGGGCUCAACCUGGGACCAGCAUUUGUGACUGUAUAGCUAGAGUACGGUAGAGGGGGAUGGAAUUCCGCGUGUAGCAGUGAAAUGCGUAGACAUGCGGAGGAGCACCGAUGGCGAAGGCAAUCCCCUGGACCUGUACUGACGCUCAUGCACGAAAGCGUGGGGAGCAAACAGGAUUAGAUACCCCCGUAGUCCCUGUCUCUUAUAC
rnacentral:rRNA from 1 species